AUGGCACGCUGCAUGCUCAAGGCAAAACAGGUGCCGAGCACGUAUUGGGGGGAGGCCGUGCUCACGGCCGUCUUCAUCCUCAACCGCUCCUUCACAAGGAGCGUCGACGGAAAGACGCCUUACGAGGCGUGGUAUGGGAGGAAGCCAGAUGUACGCUUCCUCCGUACCUUUGGCUGCGUCGGGCACGUCAAGAUGACGCGCCCGCAGCUGAAGAAGCUCGACGACAGGAGCACCCAAAUGGUGUUCAUGGGCUACGAGACGGGCUCUAAGGCGUACAAGAUGUAUGACCCCGUCUCAAAGCGUGUGCAUGUCUCUCGUGACGUCAUCUUCGACGAAGACGCGCGAUGGACUUGGGAGGCGUCGGGGGAGGCCCCGGCAAGCAGUUCCUUCACUUUGGAGUACCCGAUGUACUCUACAACCCCGAGAAGCAAGACCUCGGGAAUUGCCAUGCCGAGAAGCCCAGGAGGUGUGGUUCCGGGAACCGCAACCCCGAGAACACCGUCCCCGGGUAUGGUGUCCCCAGACACCCUGACAUCAAGCAAGGUGGUUCCCGGGAGGCUGUUCGUGACCCCGCCAACAGCAAGGUCGGAGUUGUUUGACGCCGACGACAGUGUUGGCGCCCCCCAUAGGUUUCGGCGCAUGGGGGAUCUCCUCGGCGAGGCUGCGGCAACACCGCAACAUCUCGAGGAUAAGGACGCUGAUGACGAUGAGGUCUUGCAUCUGAUGGACGGCGAGGAGCCGACCACGUUCGUGGAGGCCGAGCAAGAGGAUUGCUGGCGCCACGCGAUGCUGGACGAGCUGGCGUCGGUCAACGACAACGCCACUUGGACACUCACCACACUGCCUGCUGGGCACCGAGCCAUCGGGCUCAAGUGGGUGUUCAAGGUAAAGAAGGACGAGCACGGUGCCAUUGUCAAGCACAAGGCGCGCCUCAUCGCAAAGGGCUACGUGCAGCGUGAGGGAGUGGACUUCGAGGAAGUCUUCGCUCCGGUGGCAAGGCUGGAGUCGGUAUGGCUCAUCCUUGCCGUGGCCGCUCACCGCGGGUGGGAGGUACACCACAUGGAUGUCAAGUCGGCAUUUCUCAACGGUGACCUUAACGAGGAGGUGUACGUCUCCCAGACACCCGGGUUCGUUGCAAAGGGCCACGAGCAGGGCGUGUAUCGACUACACAAGGCCCUGUAUGGUCUCCGGCAAGCCCCAAGGGCGUGGAAUGCCAAGCUCGAUGCAAGCCUCGCAUCCCUUGGGUUCUCACGCAGCGCUUCUGAGCAUGGUGUGUACUCGCGUGGCACCGCGAACACGCUGCUCAUCAUCGGCAUCUACGUCGACGACUUGGUCAUUACCGGGGCAGAGCCUAAAGAGGUUCAACGCUUCAAGGGAGAGAUGCAUCGUCUCUUCAGCAUGAGCGACAUUGGGCUGCUCCGUUACUACCUCGGGCUGGAGGUGUACCAGGAGGAUGGUCGCAUCACGAUCACACAGACGGCCUACGCCACCAAGAUGCUCGAGCGAGCAGGCAUGAAGGACUGCUAUGCUGUACAUGCUCCAAUGGAGACACGGCUGAAGCUCAGCAAGGAGAGCCCCGAGAAGGCGGUGGAUGCCACACUCUACCGUAGCAUCAUCGGGAGUCUCAGGUACCUCGUGCACACCCGACCGGACAUAACGUUUGUUGUUGGGUACCUGAGUAGGUUCAUGGAAGCUCCGGCAAGCGAUCACCUGGCUGUCGUCAAGCACCUGCUCCGGUACAUCGCGGGUACGCUCACGCAUGGAUGCGUGUAUCGUCGUGGCGACGGUGAGAGCUUGGUCGGGUACAGUGACUCCGACCACACUGGUGACGUGGACUCUCGAAAGAGCACCUCAGGCAUACUAUUCCUUCUCGGGAAUAGUCCCGUCAGCUGGCAAUCGGUGAGGCAGAAGGUUGUCGUUGUAUCUUCAUGCGAGGCAGAGUACAUCGCGGCAGCUACAGCGGCAUGUCAGGGGAUUUGGCUUGCUCGCCUUCUCGGCGAGAUGCUGAAUCAGGACACCGCCCCUGCGCUCAUCUUCGUCGACAACAAGUCGGCGAUUUCCCUAUGUAAGAAUCUAGUGCUUCACGACCGCAGCAAACACAUCGAUCUCCGCUAUCACUUCAUACGUGACUGCGUCGAGAAAGGCUCGGUGAUCGUGGAGUUCAUCAGGACUGGUGAACAGAAGGCGGACAUCCUGACCAAGUCACUUGGUCGUGUCCGGUUCCAGGAGCUGCGCGACAAGGUCGGGAUCAUCGACAUCAAGCUCCUUCGACAAGAUUGA
rnacentral:rRNA from 1 species